rnacentral:tRNA from 1 species
GGCCGGUGGACGGGUGGACGAGGACGUCGACGGCGGUGUCGUCGACGAGAUCGUCGACCUGGUCGAGUGGCCGGUUCCGGUCCGGGGCAGCUUC